rnacentral:rRNA from 1 species
AGUCGAACGGCAGCACGGACUUGGUCUGGUGGCAGUGGCGAACGGGUGAGUAAUGUAUCGGAACGUGCUCAUGGUGAAGGGGGAUAAUCGCGCCGCGAAAGGUAGCUAAUACCGCAUACGCCUUCGCCUCGCACCAUUAGAGCGGUCGAUAUCGGAUUAGCUAGUUGGUGGGGUAACGGCUCACCAAGGCGACGAUCCGUAGCUGGUUUGAGAGGACGACCAGCCACACUGGGACUGGAGACACGGCCCAGACUCCUACGGGAGGCAGCAGUGGGGAAUGAUAAUGGGGAAACCCUGGAUCCAGCCAUCUCUGCAAGCGAUGAAGGCCUUCGGGUUGUAAAAGCACUUUGGUGGAAGAAACGGCACGGAUGGUUACUCCGUGCACCGACGGUACCUGCAGAAUAAGCACCGGCCAACUACGUGCCAGCAGCCGCGGUAAUACGUAGGGUGCAAGCGUUAAUCGGAAUUACUGGGCGAAGCGUGCAGGCGGUCUCGGAAAGAAAGAUGGGAACUCAGAGCUUAACUUUGGAACUGGCAUUUUUAACUACCGAGCUAGAGUGUCAGAGGGAGGUAAAGAAAUUCCUGCGUAAAGAAGAAUGCGUAGAUAUGCGGAGGAACAAUUGAUGGCGAAGGCAGCCUCCUGGGAUAACACUGACGCUCAUGCACGAAAGCGUGGGAGCAAACAGGAUUAGAUACCCUGGUAGUCCACGCCCUAAACGAUGUCAACUAGCUGCUGGGGCCUUCGGGCCUUGCAAGCAAUAGUGAAGUUGACCGCCUGGGAGUACGGUCGCAAGAUUAAAACUCAAAGGAAUUGACGGGACCGCACAAGCGGUGGAUGAUGUGGAUUAAUCUGAUGCAACGCGAAAAACCUUACCUACCCUUGACAUGUUCAACCAGCAGAUUUGGGAGUGCUCGCAAGAGAACCGGAACACAGGUGCUGCAUGGCAUGUCGUCAGCCGCUGUGUCGAGAUGUUGGGUUGGUCCCGGCAACGAGCGCAACCCUUGUCAUUAGUUGCUGGCUGAAAGGGCACUCUCUAAUGAGACUGCCGGUGGACAAACCUGGGAGGAAGGUGGGGAUGACGUCAAGUCCUCAUGGCCCUUAUGGGUGGGCUUCACACGUCAUACAAUGGUCGGGACAGAGGUCGCCAACCGCGAGGGAGCUAAUCCCAGAAACCCGAUCGUAGUCCGGAUCGCAGUCUGCAACUCGACUGCGAAGUCGGAACUGGGUUGGUAAUCGCAGAUCGGCAUGUCGCGGUGAAUACGUUCCCGGGUCUUGUAUAGCACCGCCCGUCACACCAUGGGAGUGGGUUUUACCAGAAGUAGUUAGCCUAACCGUAAGGAGGGCGAUUACCACGGGUGAUUCAUGACUGGGGUGAAGUCGUAACAAGGUGUAGCCC